AGCUUAAGUGGCCGAUUGCAUAGGCAUUAGAUUGUAAAUCUAAUUAUGAGGGGGACUCCUAAGCUA
rnacentral:tRNA from 1 species